AUAAAUGAGGAAGCGGAGCCAAAUUCGCUUCCCUACGCGGUCAAAGUCUUGGGAGGAUGCGAUCUAGGCGCGGUUACUCGCUGCCGCCGGACACCGGAAGUGGAUCGGACGCGUUUCCUUGCAAGGCCCUCGUGCCUUGCAUUUUUUU
rnacentral:sRNA from 1 species